GCCCUCCCCAAAACAUUUUUUUUAAUGUAAAGAAACUUACAUUUAAAAUAAAACUAGAAUAGUAGACAUACUAUGUGCAAAUGCCAUAAAUUGACAUCCAGUCUGCCAACAUAAGGAUUCUAUACAUUUUUCUUGUGUACUUUCUGUAAGUCCUAAACAUUUUCCUUCACAGUGCCUUCUCAUAUCAAGCAGAGGUUUGUGGUUAUUUCUCUUCCCUGACUUCAAUAUUACAUUGACAUCAAAUCAUCACUCAACUGAUUUUAAGAUGAAAGACCACUGGUUUGGAGGACUAAGAUUUAUAAUGCAGCAGGUGUUAUAAACUGCUGACUGUCUUAAAUAUAAGGAGUGACUCUGGCCCAGAGAAAUUCCUGGGGAGGCUGGGUCUCUUUUUAUUGCUUCUCCCGUAUGUAGGUGGGACAGUUCUCAGGAGGGAUUGGGUCAUUGUUCUGUGUACAAAAGUUGCUGGAGGCAGAGGUAGAAAUUUGCUGUCUUGCACAGGGAGAUGUGACAGAGAAUUUUAGGCCAUAGCCCAGUCCAGCCAGCUGUAGCUCAGUGUUGCUGAUAGCGAGCCUAGUUCCUCUCUGGAGUCACAUUGGUCAGAAUAACCUGACACUGGGAAAGGAGUUAUUCUAAUGCAUACUUAUUGCUUCCUAUUAAUACCGUAUGUAGCAUCUCUGCAAUUUUAUUGCAUUAACUGGAGAAUGAGAAAGUGUUAGCUGCUGCUGGAUAUUGUCCGGAGUUAGAGAAGCUGCCAUUAUAUUCCCCUCAUGACUCGCCGCUGGCCCCUGCUGUCGAAGCUUCGCUGUGGCUUCACUCUCAGGGCGUGUAUCUGCCAUCACUGCCUGCAUGCUGAUAGCCUGGGACACACUAUUGCACACCAAGCGCCUUUGAGCAGGCACUUGUCUCACUUUUCUCAAAUGCUGAGUUGAAGGGGUGUCCACGCCUUUUUCCUCAUUGAGCCAGUAGUCUCUUGGUUACUUGUAUGCAGUAGUUAUCGAGAGUGAAAUGCUGACUUCUGCUUUGACAGACUAGAGUAAGGGACCCACGGAAGUCAUGAGCAAUGACCCCUGAGAAGCCUUCCAGCUCUGGAGCGCUCCAAAUCAUCCUCCUUUUCCCUCGAGUGGAAAAGUAGGUUUUGUUAUCACGAAGUGAAUGUAGCCGGCUCAAAAUAGGCAAGACUGCCACCUACUGACCAAAUGGGAACAUUCCUCAGGGAAUUUCUAGGUUUGAUCUUUGCCCGGCUUCCGCUUCUGCUGUGAUUUUGGCUGGACUCCUCCCACCUGGGCUGCCGCAUUUCUUGCAGUUUUCUGAGCGCAGUUCUCGCGUCUUUCCAGGUUGUUUGAGAAAUGCAGGGAAUACUUUUCUGCUUAAAUUCUCCAGGGUCAGUUUUUCUGCUGCUGCGGAAGACACCAGGCGUAUUGAAUGGUGGCAGCAGGCAGGGCUGCAUCAAUUUACCAGGACGGGGGUGAGAGCCGGGGCCUAAGCGGUCGCCUCCGCUCUUGCGUUUUCCCGGAGCCUGUGGGCUGUGUGAUGCCGGGGCCUCCCGCAGCCCCGCUGCGCCCGCACCCACGCUUCAGGGCGAUUCCCCGCAGGCAUAACGGUGCCACUUCCUUAACCAGGCUAAACUCCCGGGCUGUUGGGAAAGUUCAUGCCAUCACAUACCCAGGAUGUGUUAUUUGCUUUUAGAGCCCUUUGAGUUUUCCUCUGGAGCACUUCAGACACUUUAAAGUUUAUUUUUAUAGUUAUUUGAUUUCUGUCUGCCGUCCUCGUUAUGCGGAGUCCACCAGGGCCGGGAUCUGGGCUAUUUUAUGCCUGGCACCAAGUAAGUGCUCAGACGCCAUCUUGUUGACCUGAAAUUUUCGAAGGUGAGGGCCUCAGAGACCCUUGAUGAGAGAGUAAUUUUAGAAAGGUUUACAGGCUGUGGCCUGGCGCUGCACC
rnacentral:lncRNA from 10 species